ensembl:lncRNA
UUCUGGGAGUUUUGCUCCUACUGCUCUUAGUGCCACUGCUUAUACUGAUUCAGCAGAACAGAGUGAUGAGGAGAGGUAGGAGAGAUUCAGAGACUGUCAUAUUGUGUCUUAUUCAGUGUGUGAUCAGUCAUGUUUAGUGAACUGACAGCAGGUUUGUCUGUCUACACUCACAGCUCUCUCUAAGAAGAGACACAAGAUGAAGACUGAGGUGGUUUAUGAGGAGAUUCAGCACAGACCCACUAACAGACACAGUCUCUUCACUCAGAGGGAGGCUGUUCAGGAGGAGUAUGAUGAUGUGAAGAAUGUCAGAGAAUCUAUGAGUGACAUGUUUGACUAUGAUGAUGUGGAAGAGGAUUCAGGAAAACAGGCAGGAGCUGUUUAACUCAAACCUCACACACUGCCUCAGAUCCUUUUAAAGCUUUUAAAGUUUUAGCAUUCUUACUGUAUAAGUUUCAGUUGCAAUCUAACAGUGUUUUGUUACAUUCUGUACUUAAAUAUACAACUGCAAUUUUUGACAGAAAAUUGAUUUUUGAUUUCAUGACCUCUUCAAAAGGUGCUUGACUUUUUCCAGAAGCUUUUAAAAAUCUUUUCUAUUGUGUAGCCUUAGAAUUAUGAGAGAACAAAAACCUGUCAUUUUCUGACAUCAGUUACUUUGUAUAAACAUAAUUGUGUUGAGUUCAGAUCGUUCACCAUUUAGCUACCACCCAUCAUUAAUGGAUUACAGUAUCUUUAACUUAAUAAUAUCAUAAUAUUAAAUAUCAAAAUAUCAUUCACUGAUGGUUCACUGUUAAUAUUUUGCUAAAGGGCAUUAGAAUGUUACGGCAGCCGAGAGCUCAACGGGCUGCAACUUCAGAAAACACAUGCAAAUAGAAAAAAAAAUGUAAGAAAAUUAAAAAAAAAAAAAAA